rnacentral:rRNA from 1 species
GACGAACGCUGGCGGCGUGCUUAACACAUGCAAGUCGAACGGAAAGGCCCUUCAGGGUACUCGAGUGGCGAACGGGUGAGUAACACGUGGGUGAUCUGCCCUGCACUUUGGGAUAAGCCUGGGAAACUGGGUCUAAUACCGAAUAGGACCACGCGCUUCAUGGUGUGUGGUGGAAAGCUUUUGCGGUGUGGGAUGGGCCCGCGGCCUAUCAGCUUGUUGGUGGGGUAAUGGCCUACCAAGGCGACGACGGGUAGCCGGCCUGAGAGGGUGACCGGCCACACUGGGACUGAGAUACGGCCCAGACUCCUACGGGAGGCAGCAGUGGGGAAUAUUGCACAAUGGGCGCAAGCCUGAUGCAGCGACGCCGCGUGAGGGAUGACGGCCUUCGGGUUGUAAACCUCUUUCAAUAGGGACGAAGCGCAAGUGACGGUACCUAUAGAAGAAGCACCGGCCAACUACGUGCCAGCAGCCGCGGUAAUACGUAGGGUGCGAGCGUUGUCCGGAAUUACUGGGCGUAAAGAGCUCGUAGGUGGUUUGUCGCGUUGUUCGUGAAAACUCACAGCUUAACUGUGGGCGUGCGGGCGAUACGGGCAGACUAGAGUACUGCAGGGGAGACUGGAAUUCCUGGUGUAGCGGUGGAAUGCGCAGAUAUCAGGAGGAACACCGGUGGCGAAGGCGGGUCUCUGGGCAGUAACUGACGCUGAGGAGCGAAAGCGUGGGGAGCGAACAGGAUUAGAUACCCUGGUAGUCCACGCCGUAAACGGUGGGUACUAGGUGUGGGUUCCUUCCUUGGGAUCCGUGCCGUAGCUAACGCAUUAAGUACCCCGCCUGGGGAGUACGGCCGCAAGGCUAAAACUCAAAGGAAUUGACGGGGGCCCGCACAAGCGGCGGAGCAUGUGGAUUAAUUCGAUGCAACGCGAAGAACCUUACCUGGGUUUGACAUGCACAGGACGCCGGCAGAGAUGUCGGUUCCCUUGUGGCCUGUGUGCAGGUGGUGCAUGGCUGUCGUCAGCUCGUGUCGUGAGAUGUUGGGUUAAGUCCCGCAACGAGCGCAACCCUUGUCCUAUGUUGCCAGCGGGUUAUGCCGGGGACUCGUAGGAGACUGCCGGGGUCAACUCGGAGGAAGGUGGGGAUGACGUCAAGUCAUCAUGCCCCUUAUGUCCAGGGCUUCACACAUGCUACAAUGGCCGGUACAAAGGGCUGCGAUGCCGUGAGGUGGAGCGAAUCCUUUCAAAGCCGGUCUCAGUUCGGAUCGGGGUCUGCAACUCGACCCCGUGAAGUCGGAGUCGCUAGUAAUCGCAGAUCAGCAACGCUGCGGUGAAUACGUUCCCGGGCCU